rnacentral:tRNA from 1 species
CAGUGGUAGAGCGCUUCCUUCACACGGAAGAGGUCGUAGGUUCAAUCCCUACAUCGCCUACCA